rnacentral:rRNA from 1 species
AGUGAACGCUGGCGGUAGGCCUAACACAUGCAAGUCGAACGGCAGCACAGUAAGAGCUUGCUCUUACGGGUGGCGAGUGGCGGACGGGUGAGGAAUACAUCGGAAUCUACUUUUUCGGGGGGGAUAACGUAGGGAAACUUACGCUAAUACCGCAUACGACCUACGGGUGAAAGCAGGGGAUCUUCGGACCUUGCGCGAUUGAAUGAGCCGAUGUCGGAUUAGCUAGUUGGCGGGGUAAAGGCCCACCAAGGCGACGAUCCGUAGCUGGUCUGAGAGGAUGAUCAGCCACACUGGAACUUAGACACGGUCCAGACUCCUACGGGAGGCAGCAGUGGGGAAUAUUGGACAAUGGGCGCAAGCCUGAUCCAGCCAUACCGCGUGGGUGAAGAAGGCCUUCGGGUUGUAAAGCCCUUUUGUUGGGAAAGAAAAGCAGCAGGUUAAUACCCCGCUGUUCUGACGGUACCCAAAGAAUAAGCACCGGCUAACUUCGUG